CAAAUGUAGAAGAAUGCAGACAUGAGUAGAUGGAUUGAAUUGAAUCGAAUCACUUGAAGUAGAUGGGUUUGAUAAUGAGCUUAACAAAGCGGUUGCUAUUAAAGUUAUUGACUUGGAAGAAUCAUGUUUUGGUGGCUGAUGUUAUCGUAGUAGAAGCAAAGAACAAGAGAAGAUACUGAAGAACUAAUAGAGAAGAC